rnacentral:rRNA from 1 species
UAGCCUACGGGAGGCAGCAGUGGGGAAUAUUGCACAAUGGGCGAAAGCCUGAUGCAGCAACGCCGCGUGAGGGACGACGGCCUUCGGGUUGUAAACCUCUUUUAGCAGGAAAGAAGCGAAAGUGACGGUACCUGCAGAAAAAGCGCCGGCUAACUACGUGCCAGCAGCCGCGGUAAUACGUAGGGCGCAAGCGUUAUCCGGAAUUAUUGGGCGUAAAGAGCUCGUAGGCGGUCUGUCGCGUCUGCUGUGAAAACCCGAGGCUCAACCUCGGGCCUGCAGUGGGUACGGGCAGACUAGAGUGCGGUAGGGGAGAUUGGAAUUCCUGGUGUAGCGGUGGAAUGCGCAGAUAUCAGGAGGAACACCGAUGGCGAAGGCAGAUCUCUGGGCCGUAACUGACGCUGAGGAGCGAAAGGGUGGGGAGCAAACAGGAUUAGAUACCCCGGUAGUCA